rnacentral:rRNA from 1 species
AAGGCCAGUGCUUGCACUGGUACUCGAGUGGCGAACGGGUGAGUAACACGUGGGUGAUCUGCCCUGCACUUCGGGAUAAGCCUGGGAAACUGGGUCUAAUACCGGAUAGGACCACAUUUUGGAUGGUGUGGUGGAAAGUUUUUCGGUGUGGGAUGAGCUCGCGGCCUAUCAGCUUGUUGGUGGGGUAAUGGCCUACCAAGGCGUCGACGGGUAGCCGGCCUGAGAGGGUGUACGGCCACAUUGGGACUGAGAUACGGCCCAGACUCCUACGGGAGGCAGCAGUGGGGAAUAUUGCACAAUGGGCGCAAGCCUGAUGCAGCGACGCCGCGUGGGGGAUGACGGCCUUCGGGUUGUAAACUCCUUUCGCUAGGGACGAAGCGCAAGUGACGGUACCUGGAGAAGAAGCACCGGCUAACUACGUGCCAGCAGCCGCGGUAAUACGUAGGGUGCGAGCGUUGUCCGGAAUUACUGGGCGUAAAGAGCUCGUAGGUGGUUUGUCGCGUCGUUUGUGUAAGCCCGCAGCUUAACUGCGGGACUGCAGGCGAUACGGGCAUAACUUGAGUGCUGUAGGGGAGACUGGAAUUCCUGGUGUAGCGGUGGAAUGCGCAGAUAUCAGGAGGAACACCGAUGGCGAAGGCAG